rnacentral:lncRNA from 10 species
CCCCCAUCUCUGCAGAUUCCCCCGCCCCCAACUGCCCGCUACAGCUCUUUCCUUGUGCCUCACAGCAGCCGGUCCCACUUCCUGCAUCGCCACCAAUGUGGCCCAGGCCACCAGCCCCCGUGACACUGCAGCCAUCCCCUUUGCUCCCCGUCGUGGCCUCCCGACCGAGCAGCCAGAGUGACCCCGAAAGCCUAAAUCAGCCUGCGGCGCCCUCACCCGUCCUCCAGCUGCCAUCGCCUCCUGGGUGAAGAGGACGCAGCUGGUGACGCGCACUGACGUCCUGCAAGGCCCGCUCCAGGUGCGCCACCUUUGACUGGCAUGCUGAAAGGACAAAGGGACGGAGGCUGCGCUGUCUCCACCACGACCAAGGACUCACAGAGCUCGCCUGGGGGACCUGGCCCCACAGUCACCCCGUCCGUCAUCAGCCUCAAAUGCCAUCAGCCCGUGAAUGCUGCUCCAUCGUCUGCAUGGCAGCCAAGGAGGUCUCUGCUCCUAAAGCACCUGGGAGCCCUUGGAUGGUGCCAGGUGAUGUGGCGAUGAGUGGGCAUCGCGUGGGGGCCUUGGACGAGCGUGGACACCCCAAUCCCCAGACUGGCCAUUGCCGUGGAGGCAGCGUGAGUGUGACAUGGAGCUCGGUGUCGUGCUGCAGAGGACGCCUCGCGGCUGUACGCGUCAUGAUAGCCAGGGACCCCUCCACAUGUCACUUAGCCAAAGGAUGCAGCCCAGCCUGGGGCUUUCUACCCCAGGCCCGAGGACCUGCAGGGACAAGGACCCCUCAGCGCAGAUGCAGCUCUCAUGAGGCCUGAAACCAAGCUGGACUUGCAGAACUGCGCACGCUCCCUUUCUGAAAGAAACACCCGUUACCGGGUCCAGACUGAAUGUGGGCGUAAGAAAGCGGGAAGGGUCCCCCACAGCAAGAGAGAGACCCUCCCAGUCACUUGGUCAUCUGAGCCUUGAGUGUGUCCGGCCCCAGCCACCAGCCUGUCCCCACUAUCCCUCUUGUCAGCACGGCUGAAAGGAGCUGCCUGGGCACCUGAGGUGGCUGAGGCUCAUCUUUGAGGAGCAUGGAACUCGAGGGGAGAAGUCGCGCCCCCAGGGAAGCCAGGUAAGGAGGCCCCGAGCCCCUGAGCCUAACGCCUGGGCACAAAUAAGCCGCCUGGGGACCCCUCUGUGUGGCAGGACUGCACCGUGGCUCCCACAGGCAGGGCCUCAGCAGGCCCUGCCUCCUCACACGUCAGCAUUCCCUCUGCGGGAGAGCCUUGGCGGCUCCCUGCUUCUCCCUUUGAGUUUCACCUUUUCAAAGCUUAAGUACACUGCUUUUCACAAAAUAACAUGAUUGUCCCUUUCCCUGGAGCACAUGGCUUAUAAGAACACAGGCGUUGCCGGCUGUGGUGGCUCGUGCCUGUAAUCCCAGCACUUUGGGAGGCUGAGGCGGGCAGAUCACCCGAGGUCAGGAGUUCGAGACCAGCCUGGCCAACAUGGUAAAACCCCAUCUCUACUAAAAAUACAAAAUUAGCCAGGCGUGGUGGCAGGCGCCUAUAAUCCCAGCUACUCGGGAGGCUGAGGUGGGAGAAUAGCUUGAAUCCAGGAGGCAGAUGUUGCAGUGAGCUGAGAUGGCGCCACUGCACUCCAGCCUGGGCGACAGAGUGAGAUUCUGUCCCCCGCCGCCCCCCGCCCCCCAAAAAAAGAACACAGGCAUGCACACGUCACUCCUACAAACACGGCCUUAGGGGAGUUACUGAGCAGAGUGCACUGAAGAAAACUAGGCUACAGCAGUGAUUUCAAUAAAACAUCAUGUAGCCUCGCAGAAGAUCAGUACAGGUUCCAAAGUUUCCACACACCUAUUUUGGAAUAUCAGCAGCACAACCCUUGACCAAGUUCCUAACUUGACCAUCAUCUCUUUGGCCUGUGGACACACUGAACACUGGGCAGAAGCUGUGAGCAUGAGACGAACGUGGGGAUGGUGCUAUUUGGUUCUUUUGUUUUUUUGAGACAGAGUCUUGCUCUGUCGCCCAGGCUGGAGUGCAAUGGUGCGAUCUCGGCUCACUGCAAACUCUGCCUCCCGGGUUCAAGCAAUUCUCCUGCCUUAGCCUCCCAAGUAGCUGAGAUCGAAGGCAUGCGCCACCACACCCGGCUAAUUUUUGUAUUUUUAGUACAGACGGGUUUCACCCUGUUGCCCAGGCUGCUCUCAAACUCCUGGCCUCAUGUGAUCUGCCCGCCUCGGCCUCCCAAGGUGCUGGGAUUACAGGCAUGAGCCAUCGGGCCUGGCCGGCUAGUGCAAUUUGGACGAUGAGUUUAAAACUGCAGAACCAAAGUAACCUCUUCCACAGGCUUCAAGCACAGUAGCUGAAGAUAAUAAAUCCAUUAUAACAAAAGAGUAGCCAAAAUGCUGUGGCAUUCUUAGAAAUGAAGAAAGAACUGAACUGAUAAGACAAAAAAAAAAAAAUCUCACGUCAUAUUAUAGGAAACUCUGACACAGAACGCCCAACGUGGACACAGGUGCCAGUUCAGCAGUGACCGUCAAGACCGGGGAAGUGCCCUGUGGUGACCAGGAGAACAAGGAGCUCCUCCAGCAAGCAGGGCUGCAGUGGGAGCUGGGAGGGAGCAGUGCACCUGCCAGCGUGGCCGAGUCACACAGUGCCUGCCCUCACCUGUGGAAUUUGGUGUCAGCUAAAAGGAAGAAGAAAUGGAAACUUAAAUUCUAGCCGGUCAUUUUCUUAAAACUGCAAACAUUUCUCUCGAGUGUGGACUGGCCCGGCUUCGGUGAAAGGUGCCCUCCUACCUAGCAGGGUCUCGGCACUCUGCUGUGUUCUUUGCACCGCGGUCACUAUUUCAGAAACACGGUCCUGAUACUCAUCCUGAUAAUCUCUUAAGAGCGCCCGAGAAGAAGAAUGAAACGCCUGUAUAUCCUGGUUAAGUUUCUAUAAAAUAAGAACAUACACGAUUCAUAAAAUUAUAUGAUUAAUGAUCACAGUAUAAUUACAUAAGAAUUUGUUAUAUAUGUUUCUAUAGAAUAAUAACAUACCCACACAAUUAAUAUAAGGGAUAUGUUGUUAACUGGAAGGGUGUAAAGCAGAAGUUCUUCGGCCCGGGCCUGUCGAUGCCCGCCAGGACUGUUUUCAUGCUGCCUGUGCCUCGGCUCACUUACAGAAGUUCUGACUCAAUACAUCUGGGAUUUCUACUUUCAAAGCAGUACAUGUGAUUUUAUGCCCUUAAAGUAUUUAAGAAACAGAAAGUCAAGUGUUUCACCAAUUUCCGUAGGAAGGGCCGCUCACUGCACGGUGGGGCGAUGCUGGGCGCGAGCCGUGUUUCCGUCUAUUGUUGACUUCCUCACGAUGCUGGCUCAGGCUCAGAGCCUCUCAUCACCGCCUGUGAAAUGGGGACCACCCUCCUAAUCUACUAUCCAGACCUGCCUUCUGGAAGCUCAAUUAUCACGAGCACAUGGUGGAAAACGUGGGCCGGUGAAAACAACUUAACAUGUAAAUGUACAUAAUAAAAUUCCAGGCACAAUACAUAUGAACGCUUUUAGAGAACUUUGGGAGCAAAGCAACUGAUGUCCUGCGUGGAAAGUCCUCUUCUCCCCAUGAAAUUAUCUCAAGGAUCUUCCAUGGGAAGAUGUGACAGAACCAGGACACUACUGCUUAAUAUUUAAUAUCAGAUACUCUUAAAUCACAGGAGCAUAACUAAAGUAUUCUUCGUUUCUUUAGUCAAAUCUCCUUUUCUAUAAAAUGGAGACGGCUUUCAUAUGUUUGGGAAACAUUUUAAUAACGAAUUAAUAAACAUUUUAAUAUCAAAACUAAAGUGUUUUUCUUAUAUGGAGUACAGAUAAAGUUAUACAUACAACUUAUUCAAUUAAUUUUAUUCAGUUGGAAGAGAAUGAAAAUUAAUUUUAUAUAAAUCUAUUCUAAAUACACUAAUGCAGCUUACGAGGGGGUGGGAUAUCUCUAAUUCUGACUAACAUAGAGAACAGAUUAAUCCUGUUUACAGAUGUUUUAUUGUUGUAGUAAUUAUAUGGUCACAUUGUUUAAAACAAAAGGUAAAACAAUGUUCUCAACCAAAGGUAUAAAAAUAUCCUCCUACAAGCUCACCCUGGAGAAUUG